rnacentral:lncRNA from 1 species
CUGCUGUGUGACCUGUGCACCUCUACAAGAAGAUUGUGUAACAUGCAGCAUGCCUUCGAUCCAAAUAAACUCCCAGAAUUAUUAAAAGAAUGGUUUUUUCCUCCUGAGGUCAAGGAUGAAUCCUUAGCACCCAGAAGUGGGGAGCAAUGCGGCUAGGACAGGUAACGCAGGCAGGACGCUAUUCAGUGCUGCCCCCAGAGAGGACCAACAUCCAGAAGCUCAGUUUUGCUGGUCACUUAGCUGAGAACCUGAGGUUUGGCAUGGACCCACAUGUCUUCAGAUGCCUGAAAGCUGCAGUACAGUAUGUGACCAUUUUUCCUGCUGACCCUUAGAGCAUUACAGCUUCUACUUUGUGUACCUUGAGCGUCCUACACUUGAGAUGUUCAAAACUAAUUCAGGCUCAGCAAUGUCUUCCUCUUCCAGCUCUGUUCCAAAGUUGCAAUCAAUGGGAAACUCAAAUUUCUUUGACUCUGACAGAAAGAAAAAAAAAAAGUAAAAUAAAAUGGACCCAGGGUCAUGUUGUGCUUCUGAGAGAACAAAGGGAGAUUUGUGGGUGAUCCAGCUGUAGGGUGUCUCAUCCUCUGGCCAUACCCCACUUUCACAAGGGUGAUCUCUCCCACUCCUGUGCAUAAUCACAGCCCGGGUUCUGUCUGACUUUGCACAUGCUGUCUUUCCUAAAGAGACAUUUGUCAUGACACAUAAUGCGAAUAAAGAUGGGAACAGUCCACUCUACUUGGAUUUGCU